GACGAACGCUGGCGGCGUGCCUAAUACAUGCAAGUCGAGCGGACGGACGAGAAUCUUGCUUCUCUGAUGUUAGCGGAGGACGGGUGAGUAACGCGUGGAAAACCUACCUAUAAUACUGGGAUAACUUCGGGACACCGUAGCUAAUCCCGUAUAAUAUCUUGAACCACAUGGUUCAUUAGUGAAAUACGGUCUUUCUGGCUCGUAUAGAUGGAUCCGCGCUGCAUUAGCUAGUUGGUAAGGUAACGGCUUACCAAGGCAACGAUGCAUAGCCGACCGGAGAGGCGGAUCGGCGACACUGGAACGGAGACAGCGACAAGGCGACUGCGGGAGGCCGCAGUAGCGAACGUUCCGCAGUAGGGGAAAGCCUGGCGGAGUGACGGGAAGUGAGUUGUAGCGAUCUCCGGAGCGUAAAGCCCUCUUAUUGGGGAAAAACAGAUGUGUAAGUAACUGAACAGAUCUUGACGGUACCUAGUCAGAAAGCCCCGGCUAACUACGUG
rnacentral:rRNA from 1 species